AUGUCACAUUUCCCCCCAAAAAUUUGGAUCAAACUAGAAUUUCAAUGCCUUUGAGUGAUACCUUUUCAGAAACUGUUUCCCCAAAUCUUCCUAAUGAUCAAAUAAAAAAUGGGUGUCUUUCGCCUCAUUUUUUGGUAAAAUCCAAUCACAAAGUGUGUGCGUUAAAAAGUUGGAAAAAAACGAAAAAAACAUUACAAUAAUUGCCGGACCAAUGUAUGGUAGGGACAUGCAAUUACGGACUGUCAUACAGAAAACAGCCUAUAUUACAUACAUUGCAUAACCUUGAUGUUCAUUUAAACCCAAUACAAAGGCUAUUUUAAUACUCAGCUAUCCAACAAAGAAUUUUAUUGCACACUAGCUCUCAUAUUUGCAGGGCCAAAAUGUGAAACUACACACCUAACUAUGGAGUGCUACUUUAAGGUGAAAUUUUUCCCCUCCUGCCUCAAUUUUUAUUAUAUUUUCUGUGUUCUACUAGCUGUUACGAUGAAAAUGGUACCUUAGUUUUUAAAAUUGGUUCAGUAAUAAAGAUUUUAUGAAGGUUAGCAGUUGAUGUUGCAACGUCAGACAAAAAGUGAUUUAAAAAUAAAUGAUGGAUCAUAGUGAAAAACUGCAAGUCCGUCUCAAUUUUGGGGUAAAUUUCUAAAUUUUUUCCCUUUAUCUUAUUUAAAAUCAUAAAAUUACCUUUGUAAAGGACAAAUUGUACAAUUUUUAGGUAUUUUAAAGUACUUAUAGGUCAAUUUUGCUGUAAAUAGCAUACCUAACCUUGGUUUAGAAGCCAUCAAGCAGGGUAUAAAUUUCUUGCCAUACUGGCAUCAUUUAAUGUAAUUUAUGCCAAAUUCUAACAUGACGUCCUUCAAACGCUUUGAGUACACACCUGUGGUAAAAUAUGAAUAUAUUGCCAGUGCUGUUCCGAUUGUAAUCCCACGUCAUAUGCUUUUUUAUGAAUGAGAUACCCGACGUCAUAGAACAAUGACGUUAGAAUGUAAGCAUUUUACGGGAAAAUACACGCUUGCGAAUCCGAAAAACAUCAAAGGAAACAUACACAAAUGAUGCUAAAAUGUGGCAAAAGCCCUUUAUUGUACAUCAUAUAAGACAAAUAAAUAAAUGAGCAUUCAAAUUCAUCCAAAACUGUCUAAAUACAUUAUUUUAAAUAGUUUAAGCAUGUCACUAAUGCAGUAUGCUCCGUUCUUUUACGCUAGUUUAUUAGUGCGUUUAUUUAUGGGAACGGCAAAUAUUUGCCUACACCUAGAGCGCUUCGAUCCAAAAGAAUUGCCGUAUGUGUUCUAUCAGAAUCGAAAUAAUUCAUGGGGGCUUGAAUAUAUCUAGAUUUUACCACGGGUUGUCCCUUUAUGCCGAUAUUUUAGCCCUCGCUAUCGCUCAGGGGUAAAAUAUUUGUCAUAAAGGGCCAACCUGUGGUAAAAUCACUAUAUAUAUUCAAGCCCCAAUGAAUUAUUUCUUAAUUAUAAUAUAAAAUCCUGCUAAAAUGUUUAUUUGACUUAUUCGCAUUCAAAAAUAUAAAGCGAUACAUUCUGAGGAUAUCAUAUAAAGCGCAAUCUUUGGUUACAAGGGCAAAGCUAAUGGAGUACAAAUUUAAGACCGCAACAUGUUUAAGUGUCAAAAUGUGUAUAUAUAUUUGGUUGCCAAGGAGAGUAAACAAUAAAAUAAUCAUAAAUUGCAUUCCUAGCAGAUUUUUUACCUUCAAAACUAAAACAAGAACAUAACAGACUAAAGAUUUGUGGUAUUUGUUAUCUUAAAAGGUGCAUUUCUGUACUUUCUGGUGUGCCGUAAGGUAGCACUCCAGUUAGAAAAUAAAAUUAAAAAAGAGCCCCAAAAUGUUUUGUCAUCUCCUAUUCCUGGAUUUCUAAUACAUUAACCUAACUGUUUGUGUUGUACAUGUGCAUAUAUAUGUAAUUGUGGUAGAGUGAAAUUUAGCAUAUUUUUGAUAAUGUAAAUUUGUAUUUAUAUAUUGGAAUAAAAUGAUGGUCAUACUAUUGAUAUUAUUAGUUACAAAUUGAAUGGUAUUUAAUUUGUCUAGUCUGAGUACUGUUAAACUGACCAGUGUACCUGUUUGUCUAUGUUACCUUGAUUUCUAUAUUUAGAAUCUUAAUUAAGGCUAUAUUUCUUAUGGAUAGUGAUUUUGGUCACAUGUUUUUUUUGGAGGGAACAUUCUAUUGUUCUGGUCACUUUUAUUUCAACUGUCAUAAUGAGCAGAUAUAUUUCACAGUUUUGGAGUUUGCAAAUUGUCUUAUAUGAAAUAUUGUAUAGUUAUUGCUGAAUCUUUUGGGAAUCCACUUACAUUAUUACUACUUUACAGGUUAAUAUUUGAUGUACAUGUAGCCAAUACACAUAUGAAGUCUUGUGACCUUCAAACUAGCACUUGAGAUGAUGUUUUUGGGACAGAGGGGAACUUAUGAUAAUGGAGGGGACAGCUGUAGAUGAAACUUUUGAGAUAGAAGAUCACAUGUUGUAAUGAGAAGACAGUUCUGCUGAGAGUUUUGUGAUGUAGAGGUUUGAGCUUCUCUAAAUUUGACUAAAAGAUAUUGAUAAUGAGUUUGGUUAAAUAAGACAUUUAAAAAAGAAUAAUGUUUUAUGGGCUGAUGAUCCAUUUCCUUUAUUAUCUAAAUAUACAUGUUCACAGAAAUGAAGUCUGCAGAUGACUUAUAACAGUUGGAACAACAUCCAGAAUCCUGUGAAGAGUGGACUCUCUUAGUUACUUUACUGCUAAAAAGUCCCUAAUUAAAAUAAAAUUGAUAAUGGAAAUGGGGAAUGUGCAAAAGAGACAACAACCCGACCAUAGAGCAGUCAACAGCAUAAGUUCACCAACAGGUCUUUAAUGCAAUAAGAAAUUCCUGCACCCAGAGGCAUCCUUCAGCUGGCCCCGAAACAAAUAUAUACUAGUUCAGUGAUAAUGAAUGCCAUACUAAACUCCAAAUUGUACACAAGAAACUAAAAGUUAAAAUAAUAGAAGACUAACAAAGGUCAGAGGCUCCUGACUUGGGACAGGCGCAAAAAUGUGGCAGGGUUAAACAUGUUUGUGAGAUCCCUCCCCUAUACCUCUAGCCAAUGCAGAGAAGUAAACGCAUAACAAUAAGCACAUUAAAAUUCAGUUCCAGAGAAGUCCGAGUCUGAUGUCAGAAGAUGUAAUCAAAGAAAAUAAACAAAAUGACAAUAAUACAUAAAUAACAUCAGACUGCUAGUAGUUAACUGACAUGCCUAAUUAUUCAUUUAAGUUUCUUUUUAAGUAUAGCCACCAAAAUUUAGGUGGAAUUGUGCUGAAAUAUGGAAACAUAUUAGAAUUUCCCAAAAAACUCUAGCCUUUAUAUUACACAUCUUUUGUUGGGGCGGCUGUUUACUACAUGAAUUUAAGAAAAAUGAAAUUAAAAAAAAAUGAGAGAAGAAAAAAUAUGAUACUGGUGAAAACUUGUGUAAUAUAGAGAUUUGAGUUUCUCUAAAUUUGAGUUAAAAUGCAUUGAUUAUAAGAUUUAUCAAAUAAGACCUUUAUAAUAUGUUUUAUAAGGCUAAAGAUCUACUUCUUUUAUUAUUUAAUACUCAUGCUUCCAGAAAUGAAGUCUGCAGAUGACUUAUUGCUGAAUUACAUCCUGAAUUUAAGAUCAUGAAUAUUGGGAAGAAUUGACUUUUAACUUUAUCUUUUAAAACGCUAAUUGUUCAGUAGAUUCUUUUUAAACAGCCAUUGAAAUUAAGGUGAAAAUUUUGAAAAAAUAUAAAAUUUAGAAUUUCCCAAGAAUAUCUAGCUGUUAUAUUGCACAUCUUUAUUGGUGCAGCAGUAUAUUUAAAAAAAAAGCAAGAGAAAAACAUAAUGGGAAAAAAAAUUAUACUGCUGAAAAUUUAAGUUUUUAUGAAAGAUGAUUUUUGAGUUUUGGUGUUUUAACGCCCCUUUCAAGCAACUAAUUUAUGCUAUUUUGUGGCGAUCAGUUUUUAUUGGUGAAGGAAGCGGGUGUGCUUAGAGAAAACCUCAGACCUUUGCUAGCUACUUAGUCUGGGAAACUGACAAUCCUAGUCCAUUAAGAUUGGAGUCAAAUGCACCUGCACGAGAGGGUUAAAACUCACAACCUCAGUGUUGACUGGCUAGUGAUUACAGUAGUAACUACAUACAUGUAGACCUCUUGGCCACCUAGACCCCUAUAAAAUUUGAAUAUAAAGAUCUCUUUAGUAUUAGGGAUCAUGUACAGUCAAGCCUGUUUUAAGUAUGUCACUCAUGGGAAGUAUCAAAAGAAGUUCUGAAAAAUUGCCAGUCCAAAAAUAAUGUGGCUGGGAUUAAAACUUGGUUUAGUUUUAUAGUUGGAAGAUUUAUUGUUCUGACAUGUGAGCAGACAAAUAUUACAUGGUGGACUCUUUCACUGUAAAUUAGAAGAAGCCAUUAAUGGUGUUUAUACACUUGGCUAAAUAAGUCCAUGAAAUGCUUUUCAAUGGUAUUAAUUGAAGGGAGAGGAAUACAAGGAUUCACAAAUUUAAUUCCUAUUUCUAGAUCUUUGUUUCAAACGGGUUCCUUUUCUUAUUUUAAUUUUGAUACAGAACAUAUGUAUUUUUCAUCAUGAUUAUAAUCAUGAUAAUUGGUAACUGAAAAACAGUACAAUGAUGAUUUUGUGCACUAAGAUAAAGGUGACCACAUGUACAGGUGACCACUGAAAUAGACAGAACAAAUGCUUAAGAUGGUAUCCAAGAGACCGUUAGAGAUAGUUGACCUCUUAAAUAAGAGUGGUGACCUUAAGGCAGGUUUGACUGUAAAUGAUUAUAUUUUUUCACAUCUAGAAUUUUGGUUAACAAUAAAUCAUGUAAAGAAUGACUUUCUUUCAACUUGAUCAUUAACAAUCCUUGUUUCAGAAGUAUCUUUUUAAGCAGCAACUGUUUUUUUAAAGGAAUCAUAGCUACAUGCAUGAGAUGCAAAGAGUGGAAUAAUUAGCAAGGAGACAUGAAAUUCAUUUACAGGUAUAAUUGGAUUGCUGCUACACAUGGAAAGUUCACAAUGGGGAAAUUGAAGUCUCUUUUGUCAAAUUAUAGCUCUCAGCUGGUCCUUGCUGAUGGCUUCUAGGCGACGGCAAGAAUGAAGUACAGCGCCAUAUCUGUUGUAUCCUUCUUCUGGUUCAGUGGGUUAGUUGGGAUUUACAUUUUUUUAGUUACCUUUGAAGAGAUCACCUACAUUGUGGAAUGUGAAAUUAAGGGAUAAUGCUUGAUUCUUUUUAUCCUUGAUUAGUGCCUGUAUGAAGUCUGCCUUAAAAGGGGCAGGGUUCCCAUAGCAAUGUCAACAUUUUUUUAUUUUAGUUCUUUUUUAAAUUUUUUAAUAGUUUUCUUAAUAAAAUUUUUUUCUGUUUUGUCCUUUUUUUUCAGAUUUAUCAAACUUCUUCUUCUUCAACAUUAUUUCAUUAUUUAUUAUUUAACUUUUCUUAUUCUGAAUCAGUAUUAAGGUCUGCAGCAAUGCUUUUAGAAAUUUAAAUUGUUAUUUUCCUGUAAAUUUACAGUUUAUUAAGUAUGAGAUAAUGAUAUCUCUUUUGGCUUUUUAAUGAUCAUGUCAAUUGGCUAAACAAAGUUUUAGUCUCUGGCAAUCUUAAUGAAGGUUAUUCCACUAACCAGUUGGCUACACUGAAAAUUGUAACAUCCAUUCAUUUAAGUUUAUGAAAUAUUUUAAUUUCUUUAAAAAUUAUACUUAUGUCCCUCCAUAUCUAGUACUUCAUUUAAAAAUCUUUUCAUUCUAUGAAGUAUCAACACUAACCUGGGGGGUUUACUAACAUGAUACUUCCUAAAUAGGUUGUUAUGUAUUUAAGUGGCAUGAUAGAGUGGCACAAGGGAGAGAGAGAUUGGUGUAUGCAAUUCUAGUAAGGGAUUGGGGUACUAACCAGAUGGAGGGAUAUGGUUGCUUUUUAUUCAUUAAGUAUGUGUGCAGAAUUGAAUUUAUUGGGUUGAGACUGACUGUCGUUGGUAAAUGACUUUCUGAAGACAAAAUGCCAUUAAUUUAGUCUUACAUAUUAUUAUAACUUCAGAUAAAUACCUAAUGCCUAAAAUUCAGAAUGGGACAGUUAAAUAAGGAUUUUUUUGGGGGGUGAUGAAAUGUAAAAUUUGAAAAAUGUUCUUUCUUUAGACCUAUUCAUGUUUACAAUUUUUUUAUUUCAUUUCUUCUCUUCAAUUUCGAUUGACCAUUAUGAUGAUAUUCAAAUUUCAAUUUGAUGGGGAACAGAUAAAUGGCAACCUUCUUUUUAAAAUCAAUUAAAUGUCAUAUUUUUGUAACACAGUUGACAUUUCUAUAGGAACUAAUUGCUGUAAACCAACUUAUUUUAUGGACAUUUUAUUCGUGUUGCGCCAUUUCUACCAAUAUUCGCAGCGUUUUUUUUUUUCGUGUAUCACCCUUUCUAUCAUAUUUCACAUAGGAUUUUUUCCUGUGUAUGUACGAAAAAGAAGAUGUAGUUUGAUUGCCAAUGAGACUUUACACUCCACAAGAGACUAAAUGAUACAGAAAUUAACAGCUAUAGGUCACUGUAUGGCCUUCAACAAUGAGCAAAGCAGAAUAAGAUGUGUUAUGAUUGCCAAUGAAACAACUCUCCACAAGAGACUAAAUAACAUAAGAAAUUAACAGCUAUAGGUCACUUUACCGCCUUCAACAAUGAGCAAAGCAGAAAAAAGAUGUGUUAUGAUUGCCAAUGAAACAACUCUCCACACAAGACUAAAUAACAUAGAAAUUAACAGCUAUAGGUCACUGUACGGCCUUCAACAAUGAGGAAAGCAGAAAAAGAUGUGUUAUGAUUGCCAAUGAAACAACUCUUCAAAAGAGAAUUAAAUAACAUAGAAAUUAACAGCUUUAGGUCACUGUACGGCCUUCAACAAUGAGCAAAGCAGAAAUAAAAAAAUGUAUUUUGAUUGCCAAUGAAACAACUCUCCACAAGAGACUAAAUGACACAAAAAUUUACAGCUACAUGUCACUGUACAGCCGUCCACAAUGAGCAAAGCAGAUACCACACAGUCAACUAUAAAAAGCUCAGAAAUCACAAAUGAAAAAAUUAACAGAAAAAGAAUCCCAUAUUGCUGUUUUUUUUCACAUAUUUUGCAUGGAUGUGUUUCGUGACUAUCUUAUUUUUCGAGUUACUUCAUUCUAUUUUGAAAUAUUGUGAUUUAUAUUCGGCUUAUUUCAUUUCGCUUGAAGUCUCGUUAAUAAGUUGUCUGAAAAAUGAGUUGGUUCACAGUAUGCUCCUCUUCUAGUCUUGGUUUCCCCCUCCCUCCCCCUUGUAGCAGUCUCAAUAAUCCUUUAUUCCCCGCCCCACCUGGGUCAAAGGCAGGGUCUUAAAUUGCAUAUGAUAUGAUUGCCAAUAAGACAAACUCUUCAUCUGAAGACCAAAUGUCACAGAUUGAUGCAGCUGGGGUCUGUAACAAAUAUGGAGAUGUGAUAUAAUUGCCAAUAAGACAAAGUCUUCAUCAAGACCAAAUGACAGAGAUUGAUGCAGGGUCUUUAACACUGGAGCAAUGACCUUAUAUUUCAACACGUGACAAAUAUGGAGAUGUGAUAUGAUUGCCAAUAAGACAUUUAUUAAACUCUUCAUCAAGACCAAAUGACAAAUAUUGAUGCAGGGUCUUUGACAAUGGAGCAAUGACCUAAUAUUCCAACACGUAACAAAUAUGGAGAUGUGAUAUGAUUGCCAAUAAGACAUUCAUUAAACUCUUUAUCAUGACCAAAUGACCAAAUGACAGAGAUUGAUGCAGGGUCUUUAACAAUAGAGCAAUGACCUAAUAUUUCAACAAUUCAAGUAUGGAGAUGUGAUAUGAUUGCCAAUAAGACAUUUAUUAAACUCUUCACCAAUACCAAAUGACAGAUAUUAAUGCAGGGUCUUUAACAAUGGAGCAAUGACCUAAUAUUUCAACAAUGCAAAUAUGGAGAUGUGAUAUGAUUGCUAAUAAGGCAAACUUUUCAUCAAGACCAAAUGUCAAGAGAUUGAUGCAGGGUCUUUAACAAUGGAGCAAUGACUUAAUAUUUCAUAUACAAAUCCCAUUUACAUAUAAACAUCAGAUGUGGUAUGAUUGCCAUUGGUACAAGUAUGUUGCUGGUUUUAGAUAUCCACCCCAUCAUUCAUCUUUACAUAUGAAGUAGAAUUGAUUCAGAGGCUUGUUGGGGAUAACAGAGGAACUUGCACUGUACUUUUACCUCACAUUCCUCAAUUUAGGUAUUUCUUUUUUCAAAAUUCAAAAUUCCUUUUUUUUUUUUUGGGGUUUUCAUUUAUAUAAAGAUAAUUCAAAGUUUGUUGACAUUAUUGAUUUCUUUUUUCAAAAUUCAAAAUUACUU